rnacentral:tRNA from 1 species
AGAAACUUAGGAUAAAAAAACCAGGGGCCUUCAAAGCCCCAAACAAGAGGAUACUCUUAGCUUCUG